CCCUUAGAUGUCCGGGGCCGCACGCGCGCUACAAUGGAUGAAUCAACGCGUCAUCCUGGCCCGAAAGGGUUGGGGAACCGCUGAACCUCAUCCGUGGUUGGGAUUGGGGUUUGUAAUUAUUCCCCAUGAACUAGGAAUUCCCAGUAAGCGCGAGUCAUAAGCUCGCGUUGAUUACGUCCCUGCCCUUUGUACACACCGCCCGUCGCUACUACCGAUUGGAUGGUUUAGUGAGAUCCUCGGAUUGGUCACGGCACGGUGGCAACACUGCGUCGGUGUGCCGAGAAGACGAUCAAACUUGAUCAUCUAGAGGAAGUAAAAGUCAUAACA
rnacentral:rRNA from 1 species